rnacentral:lncRNA from 1 species
CCGAGAUCGCGUCCAGACCUGGGUGACAGAGCGAGACUCCCUCUCAAAAAAAAAAGAAAAGCAAGCUCUCAUCACCCCAGCCUCCUGGGGCUUGUAGGAUGAAAUGUAACUUUAAGGCCCAACGUGCUUUUCCAGCAUACGGACUCUUCCUGCCAGCGCACCCUGGGCUUCCUUGUACUGUAUUAAUUCCUGCCCCUGUGCCUUUGUGCAUACUCUUCCUUCUGCUUAGGUGGAGCAUAGGAAAGUAAAGUCAAAAUUCGGGUUCCCUGUACUCCUGUAAGCCUUCCCUGCCUCCCUUAGGCAAACCAGUAAUUUCCUAACUUCCUCCUCUGCUCACUCAUGUCGUGCUGUAAUUUUUAAUUCGUUUUCAUCUUUUUUCUCAACUAGACUCCUCAAAGGCAGCGACCACAUUGUUCUUUGUCUCUGGGAUCCAGUAGUGUUGAAUGAGCUGCUAUCAUCUCUUCUCGAGAUGUGGAGUGAUCUUGGCUCCUCACUAUCAUACUCCCUUAUGUGGUCCUUUGUACUGACCUGAGCAAUAAUGAUGCUGAAGGCCCCACUGUUCGCUGCCAGCCCACAGAGAAGAAGUCUAUGCCAGAGAACGAGUGACCAGAAGAGGCUAUGCUCACAGAAGUCAGAGAAGCAGAGUCUUCAGGAAGGGAGAACAUCGGUGUCCACCAAGCAGAGAUACCUCAUGAGAUAGAUUGAAGUGUGGCCCCUGGAUUUCAGAAAUGGAUGUCAUCUGUCCAUGGAGGAGUAGGGUUUCUAACCUGUAAUUUGAUAUGCUUUGUGGAUUUGCCUGGCACUCUGAGCAAAUGACCAAAACCAAUUAUUCUGCCAGGUAGGCCUCUGUUCUCACGUUAAUAACAUUCUAGUUGUGAGUCAUUUAUGACUUCGAUGAGAGAGUAUAAAACAAACAGUUCCAUUAGGGGUUGGUUUUUCCCUGGACAAAUGGGUACAGAGCUGGGCCUGCUGAUGAGCUCAGCAAGAAGUCCCCACCCUGGGAAGCCCUGCCAACUGCCAGCACCUUGUAUUCAGCAGGCUCUCAGCCACACACAGGCUAAGUCACAGCCCCUGGCCCCAUUAGGAAUGUGUGUAUCCUUUCCUGCCUGAAUGGCCCACUGAGAGGUCGUUGGGAAAAUUCUUGGAGCGUCGGAUUCCUGGAUGUCUUGAAUUCCAAAGAGCUUGAAUCAGCACAAAGCUUAGGGCCCAGGGCUGUAUUUUAAAGGAAGACGCAGCAGGGGCAGGUGAUGGUAAAUAGAGGAGAGUGAACAUGGCGGGAACAGACUUCAGGCUGCACCUGUGACUGAGGACAGCCCCCAAAUUCUUAGUUCUGAGAGAAACCCCUGAGGGCCAAAAACAGCAUGCUCAGUUCCUGGUAAUUCCUUAAAAACAGGCUUCUAUCAGACCUGGCUCUAAAAAAACAUUCACUCAGGCUGGAUCCAGGUUUGGGGCCCUGAG